rnacentral:rRNA from 1 species
CAAUAGCGUAUAUUAAAGUUGUUGCAGUUAAAAAGCUCGUAGUUGAAUUUCUGGCGGGCGCGCCGGUCUUCCAAGUGUUGUACUGGGCGCAGUCCGCCAUCCUUGUGGAGAGGGCUCGCAUUGAGUUGCGUGUCGGAUCUGCAUCAUUUACUGUGAAAAAAUUAGAGUGUUUAAAGCAGGCUGUCGCUUGAAUACAUUAGCAUGGAAUAAUAAGAUAGGACUUCGGUCUAUUUUGUUGGUUGCGAACCGAGGUAAUGAUUAAUAGGGAUAGUUGGGGGUAUUCACAUUUAAUUGUCAGAGGUGAAAUUCUUGGAUUUAUGAAAGAUGAACAACUGCGAAAGCAUUUACCAAGGAUGUUUUCAUUA